AUUGAACGCUGGCGGCAGGCCUAACACAUGCAAGUCGAACGAGUGGCGGACGGGUGAGUAAUGUCUGGGAAACUGCCUGCUGGAGGGGGAUAACUACUGGAAACGGUAGCUAAUACCGCAUACCAUCGGAUGUGCCCAGAUGGGAUUAGCUAGUAGGUGGGGUAACGGCUCACCUAGGCGACGAUCCCUAGCUGGUCUGAGAGGAUGACCGGGCAGACGGGGACGGAGACAGGGGCCAGAGUCCGACGGGAGGCAGCAGGGGGGAAUAGUGGACAAUGGGCGCAAGCCUGAUGCAGCCAUGCCGCGUGUAUGAAGAAGGCCUUCGGGUUGUAAAGUACUUUCAGCGGGGAGGCGUUACCCGCAGAAGAAGCACCGGCUAACUCCGUGCCAGCAGCCGCGGUAAUAC
rnacentral:rRNA from 1 species